rnacentral:rRNA from 1 species
CCAAUCGAACCCGGAGAUAGCUGGUUCUCCUCGAAAUAGCUUUAGGGCUAGCCUCAUACAAGUCUUGCGGAGGUAGAGCACUGAAUUUCCUAGGGGGCGUCAAAGCUUACCGAAGAAUAUCAAACUCCGAAUGCCGUGUAGAUGUUGUAUGGGAGUCAGACUGUACGAGAUAAGUUGGACAGUCAAAAGGGAAAGAGCCCAGACCGCCGGCUAAGGUCCCAAAGUGGGUGUUAAGUGGAAAAGGAUGUGGGAUCUCUAAGACAACCAGGAUGUUGGCUCAGAAGCAGCCAUUCAUUAAAAGAGUGCGUAACAGCUCACUGGUCGAGAGGUCCUGCGCCGAAAAUGUCCGGGGCUGAAACACCACACCGAAGCCGCGGAACCCGUAAGGGUUGGUAGAGGAGCAUUCUUAGGGGAGUGAAGCAUUACCGGAAGGGAAUGUGGACCGCUAAGAAGAGAGAAUGCCGGAAUGAGUAGCGAGAGCAAGGUGAGAAUCCUUGCGGCCGAAUAUCCAAGGUUUCCAGAGUAAAGCUGAUCUGCUCUGGGUAAGUCGGGGCCUAAGGAGAGGCAGAGAUGCGUAUCCGAUGGACAGCAGGUUUAAGAUUCCUGCACCCCUUGUUAUCAGAACUGCGGGGACACGGGAAGGGAAGCAGAGCCGGGAAUGGAAAGCCCGGUGCAAGCGAAGUAGUCGCAGGGUUGGAAAAUCCGCCCUGCAUAAGACGAAGGCGUGAUGCGGAGCGAAAUGAAGUAGUGAAGCUGCGGCCCCUUCCUGUCGAGAAAAGCCGCUAUCGUGUAGCAAGGGCCCGUACCGUAAACCGACACAGGUGGAUGAGGAGAGGAUCCUAAGGCCGGCGGGAGAAGUGUUGUUAAGGAACUCGGCAAAAUGACUCCGUAACUUCGGGAGAAGGAGUGCUGCGCAAGCAGCCGCAGAGAAAUGGCCCAAGCAACUGUUUAGCAAAAACACAGGUCUAUGCGAAACCGAAAGGUGAGGUAUAUGGGCUGACGCCUGCCCGGUGCUGGAAGGUUAAGGGGAGAGGUUAGCGCAAGCGAAGCUUUGAACUUAAGCCCCAGUAAACGGCGGCCGUAACUAUAACGGUCCUAAGGUAGCGAAAUUCCUUGUCGGGUAAGUUCCGACCCGCACGAAAGGCGUAAUGAUUUGGGCACUGUCUCGACAAUGCACCCGGUGAAAUUGAAAUACCAGUGAAGAUGCUGGUUACCUGCGCCAGGACGGAAAGACCCCAUGGAGCUUUACUCCAGCUUGAUACUGGGAUUCG